UCGCUCGGGUUUUUCUUCAUUCAUGCAAGUCUUUGACCUUUAAUUAAAGGUUUCCGUGGAGGGGAACAUUGAUGAGGUGUUCUUGUUUUUGAAGGUUCUGCAAUGGCACAGCU
ensembl:snRNA U5 U5 spliceosomal RNA